rnacentral:rRNA from 1 species
UACGGGGGGGAGCAAGCGUUGUUCGGAUUUACUGGGCGUAAAGGCGCGUAGGCGGCCAGCACAAGUCAGUUGUGAAAUCUCCGAGCUUAACUCGGAAAGGUCAACUGAUACUGUGCGGCUAGAGUGCGGAAGAGGCGAGUGGAAUUCCUGGUGUAGCGGUGAAAUGCGCAGAUAUCAGGAGGAACACCGAUGGCGAAGGCAGCUCGCUGGGACGGUACUGACGCUGAGGCGCGAAAGCGUGGGGAGCAAACAGG